rnacentral:lncRNA from 1 species
AUGUACCUGUGCCCGAUCCUCUCCUUGUGCUUCCAGAGCGCCUUCUCAGCCAGCUCCUGCGAGGCGAACUGCACGAAGGCCUCACCUGUGAUCUUGCCCUUGGGGUCCACAGGCAGUGUGAUCCCAUUUGGCACGAUCUCCAACCCUGAGAAAAACUGCACGAUCUCUUCCUUUGUGCAUCCGAAUGGGAGUCCCCGGAGCCGCACAAAGCCGUCGUUGGCGGUGUCAGCGCUGUUGGGACCGCUGUGCUUCAACACCCAAUCCAUCUCGGUUCUGUGAGACUUGAACACCUCGAUGUACCGGUGCCCCAUGCUUUCCCUGUCUUUUUUCAGGGCCAUUUUGACAUCAUCUUCGGACUCGAGUUCAACAAAAGCCUCACCACUCUGCCUGCCUUCUCUAGUGUAAAUGAAAUGGACACCUGCCACCCCAUCACGAAUUGUGCAGUCGGAGAGAAAGUUCUGCACGUCCUCAAUCGAGCAGGACCAGGGCAGCCCACGGAGCUUGACCACAUAGCCUUCACCUCCCUCAGGGCCCAGCAUCGUGGGCCNNNNNNNNNNNNNNNNNNNNNNNNNNNNNNNNNNNNNNNNNNCACUCCUACUCCGGUCGGUCGUCCGAGGUAGCUACUGGCGUACAGCCUCCACGCGGCCGCAACGACUCCCGGGGUGGGGGAAGGGCGGCGGGCGCGAGCACUUUUGGCGGGAAGCACACGGCAGCGGCGAGGAGAGCAAAGCCGGGCCUGCUCACCUUUGGGACGAACUGCGAGAAGAGCGCCAGUGCCUCGCAGGAAGGGGCGGGCGGUUGGCAGGGCGGCUUCCGGGGAGACGGGGUGGCUUCCGGGGGGGAGGGGCCUGGAUUCUAUUGAAAACCAAAAAAAUAAGAUGUA